rnacentral:rRNA from 1 species
UCCUACGGGAGGCAGCAGUAGGGAAUCUUCGGCAAUGGGGGCAACCCUGACCGAGCAACGCCGCGUGAGUGAAGAAGGUUUUCGGAUCGUAAAGCUCUGUUGUAAGAGAAGAACGGGUAUGAGAGUGGAAAAUUCAUACUGUGACGGUAUCUUACCAGAAAGGGACGGCUAACUACGUGCCAGCAGCCGCGGUAAUACGUAGGUCCCGAGCGUUGUCCGGAUUUAUUGGGCGUAAAGCGAGCGCAGGUGGUUACAUAAGUCUGAAGUAAAAGGCAGUGGCUCAACCAUUGUAUGCUUUGGAAACUGUGUAACUUGAGUGCAGAAGGGGAGAGUGGAAUUCCAUGUGUAGCGGUGAAAUGCGUAGAUAUAUGGAGGAACACCGGUGGCGAAAGCGGCUCUCUGGUCUGUAACUGACACUGAGGCUCGAAAGCGUGGGGAGCAAACAGGAUUAGAUACCCUGGUAGUCCA